rnacentral:tRNA from 1 species
AUCUGUGCCUGAAAGU